CUUGUAAUGUGAGUGGCGAAACCUCUGAAAUAACAUUUUUUUCUGAUAUUUGUCAUCGUUGUUCUAAGCUGAAAGGACUGUGUAAAGAAUACGAUGGGAAGAAGGAGAGGAGAAGAAAGGUAGUAAAUGGACCAAAGAAAGAAGAGAAUGAUGAAUAUACGGGGUGUGUCAAAAUUAUGUUCACUCUCAUACUCCUACAUCUAAGUGGAAGUGGCAGCGUGUGACGUAUUGUACCACCGAUGUGGUAAGAUAACUAACAAGUCUGAGGCCCACUGCCUUAAAGCGAACACGUGUAGUAGGCUGCAUACCAGUCAUAAUCCACCAGAUCCAGUUAGGUAGCCGUAUGCACAGAGCGAACGCUUGUUGGCGUACCAGAUGUCCCCGAUCAAUACGCAGAGCCACUGCAGCAAGACGGCAUACCAAGUACUGGCCUGUCCACCCUGGUACAAAAUGAUGACCUCGUUUAACCUUUCGAAAGCAGGAAGGAAAUGACCGCCCAUACACGCACCAUGAGAUUAUCGCCAAGAAGGUUUUGCGACCCGAUAAAAGUCAUAAACUUUUCAGAAACUCACACAAUAAACAGCACAGUUGAAUCUGUCUAUCGUCUUUGACUGUCAUAUUAAUCCCGUUGAACUACACUGCAUGGAAUUAAUUAUGAAAGUCUGAAUUUCAUCGAGCUCGGAAUGGAUAUUUGGCAGGGCAUCUGACACGGGGAAUCGGUCCAUUCAGACGCCUCUACCUACGCAGAACAGGAAAAGUCGAUAGAACAUAAAAACACAGAUGUAAUCUAAUUCAAAAGCGGGACUACAAUUGACGAUCAGGGCAUAAAGAUGGCUGUCUUCUGGGAUGAUACGCCGUAUAGACUUGUAGAAUUUUACCGACGUUUCAGAGGUGCAGACUACCUCCAUCAUUAGUAAGUGGGAAUACGUUUUGGAAGAGACGGUUUUCAGUUGUAAGAGCAAAGUCUGUGUAGCAAGAAAACUGCACUAUUAGCAAUACUUAUAGUUGGCCGUGGCCCGCAAUACCCCGGUGUUAGACAGACACAGUUUUGUCCAUAGUGAAUUCAACUCUGUAAAUCAAUGGAUGCAAUGGAUUGUCGCAGCGUUAAAGAGAGGGUAAAACAUGUAUCAUGUUCGAAAGAAAACAACAUUGUAAUUAAAAGUAAGGAAGUAGGCUGGUCCUAAGAAACGUGCAUUAGAGUAAAUCCAACUUGUGUUGAGUGCAAAUUGGCAGAGGAAAUUUGAAUAGUACCUCUAGUGGAUAAAUAGCCAGAUUGCAGAAAGGGUUUAUUCUUUCAUGAGACUUUGAAUAGUUCAGUUUCAGUUGAUAUGUAGGCUGUGAAAAGAACCCUAUAUCUCCUGUUGGAACAUGUACUGUUUUACAUUCCUGUUUUAAAUUCAGUAAGAGUAACAGGCAAAUAUAUAUUGUUCAACUGACUUCAGUCCCCUUCCUUUCCACUUUUUGUUUGCGUUCUCGUCUCAAGGGAAGCGAAAAUAAUAUUGGCAAUCCAACUUGCAGAGACAUUGGGAUUCUUAUUUCAUCUUUCUCACUAACACUCUACCCUCUCCUUUCCAGCGACCGUUAAGAUGUUUUGAAAUUUAAAUAGCGAAACACAGUUUUAAAAUGUUCGUAUUCUUCGUCGACAUUCUAUUCUUCAGAAUACAAAGAAUUCUCACUCCUUUA